GACGAACGCUGGCGGCGUGCUUAACACAUGCAAGUCGAACGGAAAGGCCCUGCCUUUGUGGGGUGCUCGAGUGGCGAACGGGUGAGUAACACGUGAGUAACCUGCCCUUGACUUUGGAAUAAGUUCUGGAAACUGGGGCUAAUACCGGAUACGAGAUGCUUCUGCAUGGUGGGGGUUUGAAAGUUUCGGCGGUUGGGGAUGGACUCGCGGCUUAUCAGCUUGUUGGUGGGGUAGUGGCUUACCAAGGCUUUGACGGGUAGCCGGCCUGAGAGGGUGACCGGCCACACUGGGACUGAGAUACGGCCCAGACUCCUACGGGAGGCAGCAGUGGGGAAUAUUGCACAAUGGGCGGAAGCCUGAUGCAGCAACGCCGCGUGCGGGAUGACGGCCUUCGGGUUGUAAACCGCUUUCGGCUGGGAAGAAGCGAGAGUGACGGUAAUUGGUGAAGAAGCACCGGCUAACUACGUG
rnacentral:rRNA from 1 species